rnacentral:rRNA from 1 species
GAAACGGUUUGGGGUUAGGGAUUAGGCCGCCGCCGUUGUCACUGAGGAUGCGGACGCAAGAAGGAGAGGGUCUACAGCACGGAGCAGAGAGAAGAGGGGCCGGCGACACCUCCUCGGUGCCACGAGCCCGAUGGCACUCGUCGUCUCCUGGCUCGAGGUAGGAAGAGGUGAUGUUUCGUGGCGGGGAGAAGGUGGGUGAGGAAUCGGUGGCACAGGCUGGAGUUGGGAUUGAUCGAUCGGGGUGCCGAGGUGGGCAUCCUCCUAGGGGAGGUCCUCCUCGUAGACAACGCUUCCCCCGGCCCGGUACCUCUUGGGGAGGGUGCGCAGAGAGGUACCCAUCACUGUUGUACCGCCUCUCCUCUCCUCCUCCUCCUCGUGCAAUUGUAGGUAGGGAGAGGUGGAGAGGGGGUCGCGGUUACACUACUCACUCGAAUGGGAG